GUUAUCUACGGCGGAAGCAGUUGACAGCUUGCGCCCUUUUCGCGACGCCGCUCCGGCUAAAAUCGGCUGAAUUUCUCGCUCCUCGCGCUUCUCUUCUUUUCACGUGUUAUAAUUCACGCGUCGUCCGCGUAAAGAUUGCACGGGAACGACCGUUGACUUUGGAGGCACGAAAUGUAUUCCGUGUCACGCGCGACCUUGUCAUCGUUCCGCGAAAAUCGCGUAGUAGCGCGAGAGCCUAUCGCGUCACUGUCGCCGCGGCUGCCAUCUCUAUUUUUCCGGGAUCAUUUGGAUUUCCCACGACAUGUUCGACGACGAGGCCCCCCCAGUACUGACGAGACUCGACAGCUACGAAGACGUGGAAUCGCCAAAGGAAGGGAGACAUCUCGAUGGCAACUGUCAUUAUAGACGCCACGAAUAAAGGCUGCGUAUACGUGCAACAUGCGUGCGUCCCGUACAAAAAACACCCCGGCGGCUUCGAACGAGAUGGGUCAUUGAUGACGCGGAAGAUUGAGGAGCUCCAAGCGCCUAUUAAAAUGUGUAAAUGACGAUGCUAUCGAGCUACGAUGAAAUCGGAGUCAUCGCCGUCAAUUAAGACGAAACUGGUUUUCACAAUGAACUGACAGAUAGAUAUAAUUCUGAGAUCAUUGUGAAAGCUGAUUUUGUUUAGGUAUCAACGGGCCGUGGCCGGUGUUAACUCCCUGAGGAACGAGAAGAUGAAAGUAAAUUUCAGGAAUCAAAAUGUGAUCUAGCGGAAUUUAUAUAGAUUUUUUGCUAAUAAAAUUCAGUGAUGAUGUUUAA